GAUGAACGCUAGCUACAGGCUUAACACAUGCAAGUCGAGGGGUAACGAGAGGAAAGCUUGCUUUCCUUGUCGACGACCGGCGCACGGGUGAGUAACGCGUAUCCAACCUGCCCCCAACUAGGGAAUAACCUUGCGAAAGUAAGACUAAUACCCUAUAAUUUCCUCAGAUGUCAUCUGACGAGGAAUAAAGAUUUAUCGGUUGUGGAUGGGGAUGCGUCUGAUUAGCUUGUUGGCGGGGUAACGGCCCACCGAGGCAACGAUCAGUAGGGGUUCUGCGAGGAAGGUCCCCCCCAUUGGAACUGAGACACGGUCCAAACUCCUACGGGAGGCAGCAGUGAGGAAUAUUGGUCAAUGGGCGGAAGCCUGAACCAGCCAAGUAGCGUGCAGGAUGACGGCCCUAUGGGUUGUAAACUGCUGUUAUACAGGAAUAAAGUUAGCCACGUGUGGUUAUUUGUAGGUACUGUAUGAAUAAGGACCGGCUAAUUCCGUGCCAGCCGCCGCCGUAA
rnacentral:rRNA from 1 species